rnacentral:rRNA from 1 species
CGAAGAACCUUACCUGGUCUUGACAUCCACAGAAGAAUCCAGAGAUGGAUUUGUGCCUUCGGGAACUGUGAGACAGGUGCUGCAUGGCUGUCGUCAGCUCGUGUUGUGAAAUGUUGGGUUAAGUCCCGCAACGAGCGCAACCCUUAUCCUUUGUUGCCAGCGGUUAGGCCGGGAACUCAAAGGAGACUGCCAGUGAUAAACUGGAGGAAGGUGGGGAUGACGUCAAGUCAUCAUGGCCCUUACGACCAGGGCUACACACGUGCUACAAUGGCGCAUACAAAGAGAAGCGACCUCGCGAGAGCAAGCGGACCUCAUAAAGUGCGUCGUAGUCCGGAUUGGAGUCUGCAACUCGACUCCAUGAAGUCGGAAUCGCUAGUAAUCGUGGAUCAGAAUGCCACGGUGAAUACGUUCCCGGGCCUUGUACACACCGCCCGUCACACCAUGGGAGUGGGUUGCAAAAGAAGUAGGUAGCUUAACCUUCGGGAGGGCGCUUACCACUUUGUGAUUCAUGACUGGGGUGAAGUCGUAACAAGGUAACCGUAGGGGAACCUGCGGUUGGA